rnacentral:rRNA from 1 species
UGAGGAAUAUUGGUCAAUGGACGCAAGUCUGAACCAGCCAAGUAGCGUGCAGGAUGACGGCCCUAUGGGUUGUAAACUGCUUUUAUAUGGGGAUAAAGUGUGGAACGUGUUUCCUUUUGCAGGUACCAUAUGAAUAAGGACCGGCUAAUUCCGUUCCAGCAGCCGCGGUAAUACGGAAGGUUCGGGCGUUAUCCGGAUUUAUUGGGUUUAAAGGGAGCGUAGGCCGUUUGGUAAGCGUGUUGUGAACUGUAGGAGCUCAACUUCUAGAUUGCAGCGCGAACUGUCCGACUUGAGUGCGCACAACGUAGGCGGAAUUCAUGGUGUAGCGGUGAAAUGCUUAGAUAUCAUGAAGAACUCCGAUUGCGAAGGCAGCUUACGGGAGCGCAACUGACGCUGAAGCUCGAAGGUGCGGGUAUCGAACAGG